rnacentral:rRNA from 1 species
UACGGAGGGUGCAAGCGUUAUCCGGAUUCACUGGGUUUAAAGGGUGCGUAGGUGGGUUGGUAAGUCAGUGGUGAAAUCCCCCGAGCUUAACUUGGGAACUGCCAUUGAUACUAUCAGUCUUGAAUAUUGUGGAGGUUAGCGGAAUAUGUCAUGUAGCGGUGAAAUGCUUAGAUAUGACAUAGAACACCAAUUGCGAAGGCAGCUGGCUACACGAAUAUUGACACUGAUGCACGAAAGCGUGGGGAUCAAACAGG